GGAUAAGAUGCAAAAGGGCAAUAUUUACUUUAAACUCACCUCAUUACAUUUUGUGUAGCAAUGUACACUGUGAAAGUUGGCAUAACGGACACUGUUCCUUUUUUACAAGGUCCUCCAGCUGCCUACAAACCCCCUCUACUAAUACAAGUCCCCUAGUGAGAUGUGACAAAAUGCAGAAGCCAAACUUGGAGCAGAAGCAGCAGAGACAGAGAUGAAUGCCUUUGAUUGACUUGACAAGCGGUUUGAUGUUCCCUUGCCAUUUAGGACAAGGCAGAUUGCUGUUGUAUCAAGGCAUUUAAAGCACAAGGUGUUUGCUUCAUGAUGAUGCUUGGUGUUGUGUCACACACAGGGCGUCCCCGUGAGAUUUUAGUGUAUUUGUGCAGCCAAGUUGGCCUCAGUUUCUGAUUUUUUUGUAAAUAAACUAAAAAUGUAACUGAAAUUUUGCAUUACUAUCAAUGAAAAAAGAAACAUUAAUGUAAGCACUGGUCCCAAAUAAGCAUUUUUUUAUUGGCCUUUGGCUAGAAAAAUAGGGCAAUUUAGCUUUUCAUAGCUAUUGUAAACAGACACACAGUAUGCUAUUAGCAGAAGCUGGUUUCCUACUUAGGAAAAAGUGUUUAUGUUAUAGUCCUAUGCUAAUCUGUACCUGGUUAUACUUAUCUUCUUCAGCAAAAUGUGCUCGAGUUAAACUACAGAAAAAGUGAAUUUACAUGUUGGUUUUGAAUUCUAUUCCCUUAUUCUGCUGAUUAAACAUAAAAUAUAUUGCCAGACACAUAAAGAAUAAACCAUUAUCCACUUUAAAGGUACUUCAACUUGUCAUGCCCAAUAAAUAUAGACGUGGAAACCAUUUAGGGCAUAUACAUAGCGGUAGGCUUAAUUAUUAAUCCAAACAUCUACUCAAACAUUGUCUCCGCUCCCUAGACCUAACAGCAGAGAAUUUUAGCAGCUUGAAUCAUUCAAUGGGGAAUAAACGCUAAAUGACAGAUUCUUCAAAUAAAUAUUCUGUUCUCUGUUAAUCCCUGUUACUGAGUUGCAGGCAUAUUUAAUAAACUCUGUAUCAUUUUA